rnacentral:rRNA from 1 species
CGUAGGGUGCGAGCGUUAAUCGGAAUUACUGGGCGUAAAGCGUGCGCAGGCGGCGCCGCAAGUCGAGUGUGAAAUCCCCGAGCUUAACUUGGGAAUUGCGCUCGAAACUACGGUGCUGGAGUGUGGCAGAGGGAGUGGAAUUCCACGUGUAGCGGUGAAAUGCGUAGAGAUGUGGAGGAACACCGAUGGCGAAGGCAGCCUCCUGGGCCAACACUGACGCUCAUGCACGAAAGCGUGGGGAGCAAACAGGAUUAGAUACCCUGGUAGUCCACGCCCUAAACGAUGAUGACUAGUUGUUGGGGGAGUUAAAUCCCUUAGUAACGCAGCUAACGCGUGAAGUCAUCCGCCUGGGGAGUACGGUCGCAAGAUUA